rnacentral:tRNA from 1 species
CGCGGAGUAGAGGAGCGGUUCCUUGCUAGAUUCAUGCUCUAGAGACGUUGGUUCAAAUCCAGCCUCCGCUA